AGUGAACGCUGGCGGUAGGCCUAACACAUGCAAGUCGAACGGCAGCACAGUAAGAGCUUGCUCUUACGGGUGGCGAGUGGCGGACGGGUGAGGAAUACAUCGGAAUCUACUUUUUCGUGGGGGAUAAUGUAGGGAAACUUACGCUAAUACCGCAUACGACCUACGGGUGAAAGCAGGGGAUCUUCGGACCUUGCGCGAUUGAAUGAGCCGAUGUCGGAUUAGCUAGUUGGCGGGGUAAAGGCCCACCAAGGCGACGAUCCGUAGCUGGUCUGAGAGGAUGAUCAGCCACACUGGAACUGAGACACGGUCCAGACUCCUACGGGAGGCGGCAGUGGGGAAUAUUGGACAAUGGGCGCAAGCCUGAUCCAGCCAUACCGCGUGGGUGAGGAAGGCCUUCGGGUUGUAAAGCCCUUUUGUUGGGAAAGAAAAGCAGCAGGUUAAUACCCCGCUGUUCUGACGGUACCCAAAGAAUAAGCACCGGCUAACUUCGUG
rnacentral:rRNA from 1 species